GACGAACGCUGGCGGCGUGCUUAACACAUGCAAGUCGGACGGAAAGGCCCCCUUGUGGGGUACUCGAGUGGCGAACGGGUGAGUAACACGUGAGUAACCUACCCUUGACUUUGGGAUAACUUCAGGAAACUGGGGCUAAUACCGGAUAGGAGCUCCUGCUGCAUGGUGGGGGUUGGAAAGUUUCGGCGGUUGGGGAUGGGCUCGCGGCUUAUCAGCUUGUUGGUGGGGUAGUGGCUCACCAAGGCUUUGACGGGUAGCCGGCCUGAGAGGGUGACCGGCCACAUUGGGACUGAGAUACGGCCCAGACUCCUACGGGAGGCAGCAGUGGGGAAUAUUGCACAAUGGGCGGAAGCCUGAUGCAGCAACGCCGCGUGCGGGAUGACGGCCUUCGGGUUGUAAACCGCUUUCGCCUGUGACGAAGCGUGAGUGACGGUAAUGGGUAAAGAAGCACCGGCUAACUACGUG
rnacentral:rRNA from 1 species